rnacentral:rRNA from 1 species
GACGAACGCUGGCGGCGUGCUUAACACAUGCAAGUCGAGCGGUAAGGCCCUUUCGGGGGUACGACGAGCGGCGAACGGUGAGCAACACGUGGGUGACCUGCCUCAGCUCUGGGAUAAGCCUGGGAAACCGGGUACUAAUACUGGAUAUGACUCCACGGUGCAUGUCGUGGGGUGGAAAGCCUUGUGCGGCUGAGGAUGGGCCCGCGGCCUAUCAGC